GAGGGUAUAGCUCAAGUGGUAGAGCGCAUGCUUAGCAUGCAUGAGGUCCUGGGUUCAAUCCCCAGUGCCUCCU
rnacentral:tRNA from 1 species